rnacentral:rRNA from 1 species
UACAGAGGUCUCAAGCGUUGUUCGGAUUCAUUGGGCGUAAAGGGUGCGUAGGUGGCGUCGUAAGUCGGGUGUGAAAUUUCGGAGCUUAACUCCGAAACUGCAUUCGAUACUGCGGUGCUUGAGGACUGGAGAGGAGACUGGAAUUUACGGUGUAGCAGUGAAAUGCGUAGAUAUGCGGAGGAACACCGAUGGCGAAGGCAAUCCCCUGGACCUGUACUGACGCUCAUGCACGAAAGCGUGGGGAGCAAACAGG